GAUGAACGCUGGCUGUGUGCCUAAUACAUGCAUGUCGAACGAAGCACUUGUGCUUAGUGGCGAAUGGGUGAGUAACACGUACUUAAUCUACCUCAUAGUUUGGGACAACAUUUAGAAAUGAAUGCUAAUACCGAAUAUACCUUUUUAUCGCAUGAUAGAUUGGUAAAAGGAGCGUUUGCUCCGCUACGGGAUGAGAGUGCGGUACAUUAGUUAGUUGGUAGGGUAAUGGCCUACCAAGACGAUGAUGUAUAGCGGGGUUGAGAAGCUGAACCGCCACACUGGGACUGAGAUACGGCCCAGACUCCUACGGGAGGCAGCAGUAGGGAAUAUUCCACAAUGAGCGAAAGCUUGAUGGAGCGACACAGCGUGCAGGAUGAAGGUCUUCGGAUUGUAAACUGCUGUUAUAAGGGAAGAAACACCAGACUAGGAAAUGAGUUUGGCUUGACGGUACCUUAUCAGAAAGCACCGGCAAACUAUGUGCCA
rnacentral:rRNA from 1 species